GUGUGUGUGCUUGUUAGCUAGGUUAAGUGUGUGUGUGUGUGUUAGUUAGCUAGGUUAAAUGUGUGUGUGUGUCUGUGUGUU